rnacentral:rRNA from 1 species
AACGCUGGCGGCGUGCCUAACACAUGCAAGUCGAACGGAGUUCUUAAGGAAUGCGACUUCGGUCAAAUGACUUUUGAACUUAGUGGCGGACGGGUGAGUAACGCGUGAGCAACCUGCCUUUCAGAGGGGGAUAACAUUUGGAAACAGAUGCUAAUACCGCAUAAGAUUACAGUACCGCAUGAUACAGUGAUCAAAGGAGCAAUCCGCUGAAAGAUGGGCUCGCGUCCGAUUAGAUAGUUGGUGAGGUAACGGCUCACCAAGUCGACGAUCGGUAGCCGGACUGAGAGGUUGAACGGCCACAUUGGGACUGAGACACGGCCCAGACUCCUACGGGAGGCAGCAGUGGGGAAUAUUGCACAAUGGGCGAAAGCCUGAUGCAGCAACGCCGCGUGAGGGAAGACGGUUUUCGGAUUGUAAACCUCUGUUUUCGGUGACGAAUAAAUGACGGUAACCGAGUAGGAAGCCACGGCUAACUACGUGCCAGCAGCCGCGGUAAUACGUAGGUGGCAAGCGUUAUCCGGAAUUACUGGGUGUAAAGGGAGCGCAGGCGGGAUAGCAAGUCAGCUGUGAAAACUAUGGGCUCAACCCAUAAACUGCAGUUGAAACUGUUAUUCUUGAGUGGAGUAGAGGCAAGCGGAAUUCCGAGUGUAGCGGUGAAAUGCGUAGAUAUUCGGAGGAACACCAGUGGCGAAGGCGGCUUGCUGGGCUCUAACUGACGCUGAGGCUCGAAAGUGUGGGGAGCAAACAGGAUUAGAUACCCUGGUAGUCCACACUGUAAACGAUGAUUGCUAGGUGUGGGGGGUCUGACCCCC